UAAGAACCAACCAUCUGUAUUCUAUUAUCACCACAAAAAUGCAGUGAAAGGCUUAUUUAGAAUACAGAUAUUUCUACACUUGAACUGUAUAAAUAAGAGCACUAUUUUACUUAUAGUCGGUUAUUUGUUCAAUCAUCUACAACAAACCGCAUAGAAUGGAAUGUUUAGUAUAUAUACAAGCUUCAUUUCAAGGAUGUUAGUGAAAGAAGAAGAAGAGAAAGGCUUGGAGAGGCAUAUGAUAGGAGACAUUGCUGCGACACUGCUGUUGAUCACUUAACUUUUUUAAAAUUAGAUAUGGAUGGGUUUGGUCGAAGUAUAAAAGCUGGGAGGACUCAUUCGACUGAAUAUACUUAUCUUUAUAAGUGCAUAUUAUACAUUGUUUGUAUAGACAACUUAGAAAAGGGAGCUCUUUUGUUUGUGAUAAUAUUGUACAAAAGCUAUAACUUAUAUGGCAUGGAGGAUCACUGGAUUACUAAGACAAAUAAUAAUACAAUGGGGUUAGAGUCUGGAGAUCCACCAGAAACCGAUGGCCUAAAUUAUGGGGAAGUUCCAAGAUUGUUCUAGGAAAUGGAAGGAAAACUUCCUUUUGACAUAAUGUGUGAGUGGGUCGACAGACUUUGAAGCAAUAAUUCCCCACUAUCUACAAUACAGAAAUGAGCUAUGGUUUUUUAUGUUAGUGAUAUACAUGGCCGGAAUCUAACCUUCAGAAGAUUGUUCCAUGAAUAGAAAGUUGAUAACUUCACAGAAUUCUACAACACCAUUGAACAACUUUAACAAUCUAAAUGCUAAAGAAGAUGCCUUAUUGUGGAAAGAGAUAAAGAAGGGGACCUUCACCAUGAAGUCAGCUUAUACACUUUUGGACAGUCCUACAAAUACUCUUAGGUUGGAAAAGGAUUUGGUGAGUUAAAAUACCUUUCAAAGUGUUUGUUUCAUUUGGUUAGUUCCCGGGCAAGCUAUUUUAACAAAGCCUGGGAGGUUCGAAUGCUACUCUAUUUUUUGGGCUGCCCUAUUUGUACUCUAAACAUCGACCCUUCUAGCGCCAUAUAACCUGCUAUUGCCUGGCCAUUCCGACUUAAUAACUAUUGUGUUUGUCUUCGUUGAAUAAAGAUUUGUUCUAUUAUCACAUUUUCAACUUCUGACCUAAUUUAAUCUUUAAAUCUUAUUUAACAGGUGUUUGAUAGAGAAUGCCUAAAUGAUUGAUCACAACAACAAAAAUGCAUCUCCUAUUGUAGAAUCUAUAAAUAUUAUCUGUAUCAAUGUAAAUAGACUACAUUCACUAACAUAUGUGAAUGUGACCAUCCAAUAGUAUGUUAUUUCCACGACUGCAUAAAACGUACAUUUGAAAUCGUUUUAAUCAACUGAUCCAAUCAAAUGGGAUAGUCCCUUACUGUUACAUCUUU